GCUAAGGCAGGGACUCUGUGAGUCAUGAGAACAGAAUCCAGUGAGGAGAUGCUGGCGCAGGACAUUUCUUGUUUUCAGAGUCCCUGCCAAGCCAGUUAUGGAUGGAUUUGCAUUUGGGUUGGGAAAUGAGUGCACCAGGCCAGUUUGGACAGCUCCGCUUUCCCUUGAGUGGGGCAGCAAGCCCCUAUAAAAACGUCCUCUGCUGCACGACAGGUAUCCUCUUGCUACUCGAGUUCCAAUUGACUUUGGAGCACCUGAUAUUAAGAUUUCAGAAAGAUGUCUUCUCAAGAGCAGCAGUGCAAGCAGCAAUGCAAGCAGCAGUGCAAGCCACCUCCAGUGUGCCCAACUAAGUGCCCUGAUCCUUGCUCACCUACCAAGGGUUCAGACCCUUGCCCAC